rnacentral:rRNA from 1 species
UACGUAGGGCGCGAGCGUUGUCCGGAAUUAUUGGGCGUAAAGAGCUCGUAGGCGGCCGGUUGCGUCUGCUGUGAAAUCCCGGGGCUUAACCCCGGGCGUGCAGUGGAUACGGGCCGGCUGGAGGCAGGCAGGGGAGAAUGGAAUUCCCGGUGUAGCGGUGAAAUGCGCAGAUAUCGGGAGGAACACCGGUGGCGAAGGCGGUUCUCUGGGCCGAUACUGACGCUGAGACGCGAAAGCUAGGGGAGCGAACAGG